CGGCUGAACAAGCCUACGUUAAUGCCAACUUUUAGCGCACGGCUCUCUCCCAAGAGCCAUUUCCCUAGACCGAAUAUAGGAAUCGUAUUCGGUCUCUUUUU
rnacentral:sRNA from 1 species